rnacentral:lncRNA from 1 species
AUCUGAGAGUACUCGCAGUUACUGACAGUUAGUUCAAAGCCAGUAUUAACUAAUAAAAAAAUCAUGCAUCGAAACUUAAAUAUUAUUCAGUUCACAUCCAACAUCCAAUGGAUUUAGUGUAAAAAUAAACAUAUAUCUAGCCUAUUGACUAAAAACAACUUUACAGAAAAGUAUUCGGAUGUUUAUUCAGUCUCUAAGUAAUUCGACCCAAUUUUGCAAAUCAAUAACCUCUAGAAAAUAUUUUUACACGAAAUUGUUUCAUUUGCGCCAAGGACACGUCCUUUCUUAUUCAGCAAAUACAAGAGUCAUUGUAUUUUUCAGCAAAGACUAUACCACCAG